AAAUCAAAGGAUACACAUUUAAAUAAUUAUAUCAUCUCAACAGCACACAAUUGGUGCAGUGCAAGCACUGUUGGACAGAACACUCUCCCAGAAUUUAUCACACAUCAAAUGCAACAACAAGGAGAAUGCUCCAACCACACAGAAUGCAACCAACGCGUAUAACCUUACAAAGGCAAAUUGCACUAUCGCAUCACAGAUGUCAAGGGCAAUCAUUAAUUGUACAGUCAUAAAUGAAUCCUCAUAAACAAGGUACACAAACAGGAGACUAAUAAUAUUGGUAAGGUUAUUAGAUAUCAACGUCAAAUAUCACAGGUGAGGAACUGAGACGCAGCCCCAGUGUAUUAUGACACUCAAGCGGAGGACUAACAAUAUGACAAGGUCAUUAGAUAUCAAAAACGAGUCUCCACGGAGCACGGGCAAGGGCCAGUAUCCAAUGAGGAUGUCGCUUAUCAAAAAGUCAGGAUAUCGCAAGAAUAGCACUAGAGCAUAUACAGAUAAAGGACCAGUAGUACUGGUAAAUCCAACAAUUAGUCAGAUUACCACGUGUAAGACAUUAGAACAUAGAACCGAGAGAAUGCAGUAAUAGAAACCAUCAAUGGGUUCAAACAUUAGAUGAAUUCAAGUCACUAUAAUAUGGAUGCAAAAUACAUCCAAUAUUCCAAAAGCAUUACUAAUGCACAACAGUGUAUGAAAUGUCGACAACCGGCUAAAGGCACACAAGAAAUUGAGGCACCAAGUACAAGUAUAAGGAAUACAGCACCGUAGUACCCCGCACGUGACAAUAAUAUCAUCGGAUGUAUGAAGAAAUAUCUUCACAUGAACAACCAGUAGCCUCCAGAAGGCUUCAUACACCAUAUGGCACCUCCAAGGGAGACCAGGAUGAUGAGGCCACGUUA